GUUCGACUGCGGCGUUGGUGACUGCCGAUAACGUUUUUUUGAUCUAUGUUUGCUUUAUGUGGGAACCAAUCGCGCUCGUGGCAGUAGACCGGCCCUGGUAGCCGAGGAACUUUAAACGAGAUGCACCAAUUCCCCCCUGGAUUUUCCAGGUCAAAAGCUGAGGUAAGACGGCGUUGUGGUGAACGA
rnacentral:other from 1 species